CUGAAGAGGGACCACAGUGGGAUGGAAGACUUGCUUGCAGCCCUUCAUGACCAUAAAUUAAUCAUUCUAUACCUCAAUCACCACUACAAACACCCUCGUCCAGACGCUGCCUCGGCUCCCCUGCUGCAACAAGCCCCAUGCCGUGACCUGAAGAAUUUUACGGGCCAGCUGGACGCCGACCACUUGAGGCUACUCCCUCAAGACCUGAGGUAUCUGUACUUGUCGGUGGGGGGAGACAGCCACGCACGGACCCUGCUGCCGGCCCUCAGACACAUCACCGGGACAUGCCCUCACCUAGUCGUCCUGCGGCUCCACGUCCCGGUAUCUCAAGUGACCGUUGCCUGCCUCUCACCACUCCCUGAUUUUGACCAUGGUGUAGGUCUGUUACUGUCUGGUGUUGGGGAUGUGCAGGCAGCCGUGGCCGUGGUCGCAGCCCUUUGUCCCGUGCAGAGAGGGUGAGUAUGGGUGAAAGACGCUCAUUAAAAAAAAGAAAAAAAAAUAGAAAAAUAAAUUAAUUUGGCGUU